CACGUAGGGCGCAAGCGUUGUCCGGAUUUACUGGGCGUAAAGGGCGCGUAGGCGGCCACCGCAAGUCGACUGUGAAAUCUCCGGGCUUAACCCGGAAAGGUCAGCCGAUACUGCGGGGCUAGAGUGCAGAAGGGGCAACUGGAAUUCUCGGUGUAGCGGUGAAAUGCGUAGAUAUCGAGAGGAACACCUGCGGCGAAGGCGGGUUGCCGGGCUGACACUGACGCUGAGGCGCGAAAGCUAGGGGAGCGAACGGG
rnacentral:rRNA from 1 species